CUUCCUCCUCUUUACCCACCUUUUAUUUUCUUCUCUGUGAGCAAACGAGAAGGAGAAAACCCCACUGCCACCAUCCUCUUCACCAUGGCGUUGCCACUACAGACCACCCCGCCUCCAUCUGAGAGUACCAGGAGUUGCGGCUCGACGUCCUCAUCAUCUCCCUGCAAGGAAUCGGCCUGGGAUUCCUUCAAUCGCCGGCAAAUUCGCCGAUUCCACCCUCCGGCGACCACCUUCCGACGAAGAAUCCGGCUGGUCUGGCCCUCCCGCGGCUUCCCUGACCCAUCCAUGAGCUUCAGGGUGAGAUACCCGUCCUCCCAAACCUCUCCUCGGUCUCAUCGUUCCUCUCUAUGUUGCUGCCGGCGUUGACCGCCGUUUUCGUCCGCAGACGCUCGCCGCCGACGCCGCUCCGGUGAUGCCCCGGCUCCGGCGCCACCCCGUCCUGGUUCCACGCAUCAAGGCGCAUCCCCGACGCCAUCUCACCUGUCCUGGUUCGCCCUGACCUGCUAGAUCGAUGGUCGACCUGAGCUCCGUCCCGCCAUGGUUUUCAUUCCUGAGCUCCGUUUUGACUUUGUUCAACAGGCUGUGCGCCAUCCUCUUAACACAAUCCGAAUCAGCAGCGCGCUGCCCACAUCGACCCGGUGCAUCUCAUCGCCCGCGCGGCCCGUAGCUUCCCGUCGCCGCUCGCACGCCAGAAGUGGGCCGGCCCGCACGCGCCAGCUUUCGUCCCGCCGGCCAGCAUUUGCUUCUUCCGGAUAGGAUCGCAAAGUGCCGUGGUGAGAUACGACAAGUUCUCCGGAUGUUCCUCGGCAAGCUUUAACAGGCAAGCAUUUUCCCCUAUACUCCUGUCCCUGCAGGAGUCUCUUACCUAUUUUAUUUUGCCUUCUCCCUCAUGCUAUCCUUAAGUUGCGUUCUUGUCACGUGUCCCUUCCACCUGUUACCUCAAGCAUCCCAUAUUGCCACCACCACCUCCUACGGCUAUUGUUUGGUUAUCGAGUCUGCCCUUGCGAGUCGUAGUGCAUGCUAGUGCUGUCUUAUCUUGUUACCGUUGUUAUUAUCUUAUCGGGUUAUAUGCUAGGAAGAAUCAUGGUUACUUUAGUUGUUGAUAAUUGUUUAGCGGAGGCAUCGGUGGGUCAGCUGAUCGUUUUAUGACGGCUCACUUGUGUUUCCUAAAUAUCUUAGGACCCCGAGUUCUUGUUAUCUGUUCCGAGACUGAGCGCUCUAACCACACGUGGGUAUGCUUACCGGGUCUCCCCUCGAUCACUGCCGGAAUCUACCGCUUUGUCCAAUGGCCACAACUAGUUUGGAUGUUUGUUGUGUUUCUCCCGGGCGUGCAAGCUUGUUUCUUUGUGGUCAGAUGAUAUGAUGUUACUUUUGGGGAAGCCAUGUUGCCUUGUAACUCCGUUGUCUCUUGCACGUCCGUAGGUGCGGCACGUAUUGUUAAGAGGUCAUCCUCUAGUGGGCUCUGAUCCUCUUAGCCGUUCUCGCAACAGCUAGGUCCGCGUUAGAGUUCCGAUCGGGCUCUAAAACGGGUUAACUUAGUUAGGUGGCUUCCUGGACAUUGUUGUAGUGAAGGAGAGUGCGUGUCGUGAUAUCCACCUGUCGUAAGUGGGUUGAUCGUGCGUGUGGGCACAUUUGGGCACCCCUGCAGGGUUACAAUCUUAUCGAUAAGCCGCGUCCGCGGUUAUGGACGACUUGGAGCUGUAUGACUCGACCAUAGACAACUUACACAUGUUGUU